rnacentral:rRNA from 1 species
UACGGGGGGGAGCAAGCGUUGUUCGGAUUUACUGGGCGUAAAGGGCGGGUAGGCGGCCACCGCAAGUCAGUUGUGAAAUCUCCGGGCUUAACCCGGAAAGGUCAACUGAUACUGCGGGGCUAGAGUGCAGAAGGGGCAACUGGAAUUCUCGGUGUAGCGGUGAAAUGCGUAGAUAUCGAGAGGAACACCUGCGGCGAAGGCGGCAUCCUGGACCGGCAUUGACGCUGAGGCGCGAAAGCCAGGGGAGCAAACGGG